AGGAAAAGAAACUAACAAGGAUUCCCCUAGUAACUGCGAGUGAAGUGGGAAAAGCUCAAAUUUAAAAUCUGGUGGUCGUCUUAGGCUGCUCGAGUUGUAAACUAAAGAAGUGCUACCCGCGCUGGAAUCCAUAUAUAAGUCUCCUGGAAUGGAGCGUCAUAGAGGGUGAGAAUCCCGUCUUUGAUAUGGGYUUUUUCUGGGGCUUUGUGGUGUGCUCUCAAAGAGUCGAGUUGUUUGGGAAUGCAGCUCAAAAUGGGUGGUAAAUGCCAUCUAAAGCUAAAUAUAGGCGAGAGACCGAUAGCGAACAAGUACCGUGAGGGAAAGAUGAAAAGAACUUUGGAAAGAGAGUUAAACAGUAUGUGAAAUUGCUGAAAGGGAAACGCUUGAAGUCAGACGCAUCAGCUAGGAAUCAACCCUUAGCUUCUGCUGGGUGCAUUUCCUUGAUUCUGAUGGGCCAGCAUCAAUUUUGAUCGUUGGAGAAAGGCCUUAGGGAAUGUGGCAUCUCUUUUGUAGAUGUGUUAUAGCCCAUUGGUCAUAUGCAGCGGUUGGGAUUGAGGAACUCAGCAUGGUCCUCCUGGACUGGAUUUUAUUUUUCACAUCUCAUGCUUAGGAUGGUUGGCACAAUGGCUUUAAUCGACCCGUCUUGAAACACGGACCAAGGAGUCUAACUUGCAUGCAAGUGUUUGGGUGGAAAACUCAUGCGCGCAAUGAAAGUGAAAGUUGAGAUCUCUUCUUGUUCAAUAGGGAGGAGAGCAUCGACACCCGGACCAGACCUUUUGUGAU
rnacentral:rRNA from 1 species